CGGCAACAGGUGCUAAAGGUGGCACUUCGGUUGAGUUACUGAUCAGUUUUUGUUUGGCGGGUAAAGGUAUGAUCUCAGGGGGUGGGACAGCAGCAGCAGCAGCAGCAGAUACAGGAGUGGGCGCUGUGACUGCUGGAGUUACAAGCGUCUCUAU
rnacentral:rRNA from 1 species